CCUACGGGUGGCAGCAGUGGGGAAUAUUGCACAAUGGGCGCAAGCCUGAUGCAGCCAUGCCGCGUGUGUGAAGAAGGCCCUCGGGUUGUAAAGCACUUUCAGCGGGGAGGAAGGCGUUAAGGUUAAUAACCUUGGCGAUUGACGUUACCCGCAGAAGAAGCACCGGCUAACUCCGUGCCAGCAGCCGCGGUAAUACGGAGGGUGCAAGCGUUAAUCGGAAUUACUGGGCGUAAAGCGCACGCAGGCGGUCUGUCAAGUCGGAUGUGAAAUCCCCGGGCUCAACCUGGGAACUGCAUUCGAAACUGGCAGGCUAGAGUCUUGUAGAGGGGGGUAGAAUUCCAGGUGUAGCGGUGAAAUGCGUAGAGAUCUGGAGGAAUACCGGUGGCGAAGGCGGCCCCCUGGACAAAGACUGACGCUCAGGUGCGAAAGCGUGGGGAGCAAACAGGAUUAGAUACCCGGGUAGUC
rnacentral:rRNA from 1 species